AGCUGGGUAGCUAAGUCGGGAAGGGAUAAACGCUGAAAGCAUCUAAGCGUGAAGCCCACCUCAAGAUGAGAUUUCCCAUAGCAUAAGCUAGUAAGACCCCUUGAAGAACACAAGGUUGAUAGGUCAGGGGUGUAAGCAUGGUAACAUGUUCAGCUGACUGAUACUAAUAGGUCGAGGGCUUGACCAAAUAA
rnacentral:rRNA from 1 species